CAGUCGCCGCGGGAAUACAGAGGGUGCAAGCGUUAAUCGGAUUUACUGGGCGUAAAGGGCGCGUAGGUGGUUAUUUAAGUGAGAUGUGAAAGCCCCGGGCUUAACCUGGGAACUGCAUCUUAUACUGGGUAACUGGAGUGCAGUAGAGGGUAGUGGAAUUUCCGGUGUAGCGGUGAAAUGCGUAGAUAUCGGAAGGAACACCAGUGGCGAAGGCGGCUUACUGGCUCAUUUUAGACGCUGAGGUGCGAAAGCGUGGGGAGCAAGCAGGAUUAGAUACCCCUGUAGUCCCUGUCUCUUAUAC
rnacentral:rRNA from 1 species